rnacentral:lncRNA from 1 species
UUUUCAUCUGCAGAUAUGCAGAGUCUUUACCGAGGCAUAUCCUUGGUCCAGCCUUCACAUAACAUUGACGGAAUGGAAAUGUAAGGUUAGUCCCAUUUAUUUUCAAGAAGCAAUAGAAUUAAAGCUUGUAAGUUUCUCUUGCAAAACUUACUUGAAAUGCAGUGAACUUGAAUGGAGAUGCAUUCUGGAAGAUACCAUCUUUGAGCCAUCUCUCAGGCUUGAAUGAAGCCGCAUCAGGUCCCCAGUUAUACUCCAUCCUACCCAUUGAGUAAGGUACGUAAGUUACCAUUCCUCCAGCUUUUACUCUGGUUCCAUCAGGCAAGAUAUCAUCUUCCAUAAUGCCUUUGGGAUCCUACAAUCAUUCAAUAUCAGCUCAAUGUUUGUUUAUCGUUGACAUGAUUAUUUCACGUUGCAUACUUCUUGUCCCAAAAACUUUCAGUUUUGGACAUAUCUCAGUCUGACACACAUGCAUGUCAUGUGCUAAUUUUUAAGAAUAGACAUAGUCAUAUGCUACCCUUUUUUCAUAGAUAACAUGCUAUGAGUCUUGAAGCUUAGGGUGCCUUGUGGUGGUGUUGGUUGCCCCCCCUCUCCAUGGGAAAUUAUUAUUCAAUAUACUCAGGGCACUAAAAUAUAUGAACAAUACAAAUAUAUCCAAUCCACUUGAAGUUGUGAAAAGUGAAUCCCACAUUAUGAUUGAUGUGUACCGAAUAAUUUCUCAUUCACUAAUUACUAACUCUCCCCUCUUACAGUACUUAACCCAUACUACAAAUGGGGGAGAAAUAAGCAUACCUGAGGGACUGCUGGGUACAAACGGAGUGUCUCGGUUACAACUGCGUGCAAAUAAUAUAGUUUGCCUAAUGA